AUGAGAGCCCUCCGUUUCGCACAGAACAAUAACGUCACCAAAGAUCCACCGUCGAAACUGCCACGAUCCGACUGUCUCCACUUUAAAUCCGGAGACAAGCGCAACCGUCUCUUUGCAAUUAUCAUGAUUCUGCUCAGAUUUGCAAAGUCAUUCUCCAUUAGCAUCCUCCGGUUUGUUUUCCAUUCUUCUUUUUAUUCAUGUGGUUUGAUUAAGACAUGUUUGAUUAAAUGA